UACGGCCAUAUCGUAUUGAAACACCGGUUCUCGUUCGAACACCGAAGUUAAGCAACGUUGAGUUUGGUCAGUUCCUUGAUGGGUGAUCGCUUGUAAAAUAGAAGGUGUUGUA